rnacentral:rRNA from 1 species
AGUGGCGGACGGGUGAGUAACGCGUAAGAAUCUAACUUCAGGACGGGGACAACAGUGGGAAACGACUGCUAAUACCCGAUGUGCCGCGAGGUGAAACCUAAUUGGCCUGAAGAAGAGCUUGCGUCUGAUUAGCUAGUUGGUGGGGUAAGAGCCUACCAAGGCGACGAUCAGUAGCUGGUCUGAAAGGAUGAGCAGCCACACUGGGACUGAGACACGGCCCAGACUCCUACGGGAGGCAGCAGUGGGGAAUUUUCCGCAAUGGGCGAAAGCCUGACGGAGCAACGCCGCGUGAGGGAGGAAGGUCUUUGGAUUGUAAACCUCUUUUCUCAAGGAAGAAGUUCUGACGGUACUUGAGGAAUCAGCCUCGGCUAACUCCGUGCCAGCAGCCGCGGUAAUACGGGGGAGGCAAGCGUUAUCCGGAAUUAUUGGGCGUAAAGCGUCCGCAGGUGGUCAGCCAAGUCUGCCGUCAAAUCAGGUUGCUUAACGACCUAAAGGCGGUGGAAACUGGCAGACUAGAGAGCAGUAGGGGUAGCAGGAAUUCCCAGUGUAGCGGUGAAAUGCGUAGAGAUUGGGAAGAACAUCGGUGGCGAAAGCGUGCUACUGGGCUGUAUCUGACACUCAGGGACGAAAGCUAGGGGAGCGAAAGGGAUUAGAUACCCCUGUAGUCCUAGCCGUAAACGAUGGAUACUAGGCGUGGCUU